rnacentral:lncRNA from 1 species
GGAUUGUAAUCCCAUGCAUCUGGUUCACGUGGACCUGGUGUCCUAGUUGGCCCUAUUGCCGUCAAUUCCGUGGAUUCGGCUUUGGGUAUCCUCUAUAAUUUCUGGCGUGGGCACGCCCUGAGAUGAGAAGUCUUCUGAGAAUUUGUCUCACGAGAUUACUUUUAACGCCAACAACCUAUAAUUUACACAAAUAUGAAAUAUGAGCAAAAUCUCAUUAUUUAACACAGUAAGUAGCCAAAAUUAUGAUAGAAUAACAGUGCAAAAGGUGCUCAA